rnacentral:rRNA from 1 species
GAUGAACGCUGGCGGCGUGCCUAAUACAUGCAAGUCGAGCGAACGGACGAGAAGCUUGCUUCUCUGAUGUUAGCGGCGGACGGGUGAGUAACACGUGGAUAACCUACCUAUAAGACUGGGAUAACUUCGGGAAACCGGAGCUAAUACCGGAUGAUAUUUUGAACCGCAUGGUUCAAAAGUGAAAGACGGUCUUGCUGUCACUUAUAGAUGGAUCCGCGCUGCAUUAGCUAGUUGGUAAGGUAACGGCUUACCAAGGCAACGAUGCAUAGCCGACCUGAGAGGGUGAUCGGCCACACUAGAACUGAGACACGGUCCAGACUCCUACGGGAGGCAGCAGUAGGGAAUCUUCCGCAAUGGGCGAAAGCCUGACGGGACAACGCCGCGUGAGUGAUGAAAGUCUUCGGAUCGUAAAACUCUGUUAUUAGGGAAGAACAUAUGUGUAAGUAACUGUGCACAUCUUGACGGUACCUAAUCAGAAAGCCACGGCUAACUACGUG